UUACUUUUAACUCAAACCAACCUAUUAAUCAAGGGGUUCUUUCAAAAAUGACUCAAAAUUUCAAGUCAAACACAAAAGUAACCUAUUUUUUUUUUAAACUUUGUUUUGUCCUAUUCACCCUAGAAGUUCUAGUUAUUCACGAAAAUGUCAUUAUUUUUUUUUUUUUAAAAUAAGGCUUUUACCUUACCAUCCUCAUCUCCACCAAAUAUUUACAAUUUUGCCAUUGACAUCAAUACCUCAACCACCAUGAACUAC
rnacentral:lncRNA from 1 species